UGUCAGAUAAGAAGGCAAUAGAAACUAAAUAAUGUCCAUUGCCAUGAAAUAUUGUCUCCUAAGUGGACAGCAUUUUACAGCAACAGUUAUGAAAUAUGGUCCCAUCUGCAGAACAAAUUUUCGUAGUGAAUGUUAUUUAAUUGUGUCCUCAAAGGAAAAUAAAAUGGAACAGCAUCUAACAUGUAUAUAAUUAUAUUUAAA
rnacentral:lncRNA from 1 species